UACGUAGGUGGCAAGCGUUGUCCGGAUUUACUGGGCGUAAAGAGCGCGCAGGCGGUCGUUCAAGUCGCGUGUGAAAGCCCCCGGCUCAACUGGGGAGGGUCACGCGAUACUGAUCGACUCGAAGGCAGGAGAGGGAAGUGGAAUUCCCGGUGUAGUGGUGAAAUACGUAGAUAUCGGGAGGAACACCAGUGGCGAAGGCGACUACCUGGCCUGUUCUUGACGCUGAGGCGCGAAAGCUAGGGGAGCAAACGGG
rnacentral:rRNA from 1 species